rnacentral:rRNA from 1 species
GCGGAGGAAAAGAAACUAACCAGGAUUCCCUUAGUAACGGCGAGUGAACAGGGAAAAGCCCAGCACCGAAGCCUGUGGUCGUUUGGCCCCUAGGCAAUGUGGUGUUCAGGUUAGCUCGCGAAGAUGCUGCUCCACCCUAAGUCCUAUAAUGAGUAAGGUUACUCGGACAUGGCCCAAUGAGGGUGAAAGGCCCGUGGGGGUGGAGAUUC